rnacentral:rRNA from 1 species
UUGGGCGUAAGGGCUCGUAGGUGGUUGAUCGCGUCGGAAGUGUAAUCUUGGGGCUUAACCCUGAGCGUGCUUUCGAUACGGGUUGACUUGAGGAAGGUAGGGGAGAAUGGAAUUCCUGGUGGAGCGGUGGAAUGCGCAGAUAUCAGGAGGAACACCAGUGGCGAAGGCGGUUCUCUGGGCCUUUCCUGACGCUGAGGAGCGAAAGCGUGGGGAGCGAACAGGCUUAAAUACCCUGGUAGUCCACGCUGUAAACGGUGGGUACUAGGUGUGGGGUCCAUUCCACGGGUUCCGUGCCGUAGCUAACGCUUUAAGUACCCCGCCUGGGGAGUACGGCCGCAAGGCUAAAACCCAAAGGAAUUGACGGGGCCCCGCACAAGCGGCGGAGCAUGCGGAUUAAUUCGAUGCAACGCGUAGAACCUUACCUGGGUUUGACAUGGAUCGGGAGUGCUCAGAGAUGGGUGUGCCUCUUUUGGGGUCGGUUCACAGGUGGUGCAUGGCUGUCGUCAGCUCGUGUCGUGAGAUGUUGGGUUAAGUCCCGCAACGAGCGCAACCCUUGUUCACUGUUGCCAGCACGUUAUGGUGGGGACUCAGUGGAGACCGCCGGGGUCAACUCGGAGGAAGGUGGGGAUGACGUCAAGUCAUCAUGCCCCUUAUGUCCAGGGCUUCACGCAUGCUACAAUGGCUGGUACAGAGAGUGGCGAGCCUGUGAGGGUGAGCGAAUCUCGGAAAGCCGGUCUCAGUUCGGAUUGGGGUCUGCAACUCGACCUCAUGAAGUCGGAGUCGCUAGUAAUCGCAGAUCA